UAAGUAUUUCAAUCCAGUUUUCUACCAUUACUACCUUGAAGAUAUGUCAAGGACAAGAAUUAACGUUGUUGAAUCCAAUGAAGAGUAUAUGAUGGAAGAACCAAUUGAACAUCAUAGUUUUGGUGAAAAAGAUCUCGAAUCAUCCGAUGUCCAUGAAAGAACUACUAAUGGUGAAGAAGGCUUCACCGAUUGUGAUGAUGCUGAUGCGGAUGAAAAUGAAGAUGAACAAAGAAACUAUGGUUCAUAAUGGUGGCAGUGCACGACAACUAGAAAAAUGUUUUGCUGGACA